rnacentral:rRNA from 1 species
UAGGGAAUCUUCCACAAUGGACGCAAGUCUGAUGGAGCAACGCCGCGUGAGUGAAGAAGGUUUUCGGACCGUAAAGCUCUGUUGUUGGUGAAGAAGGAUAGAGGUAGUAACUGGCCUUUAUUUGACGGUAAUCAACCAGAAAGUCACGGCUAACUACGUGCCAGCAGCCGCGGUAAUACGUAGGUGGCAAGCGUUGUCCGGAUUUAUUGGGCGUAAAGCGAGCGCAGGCGGAAGAAUAAGUCUGAUGUGAAAGCCCUCGGCUUAACCGAGGAAUUGCAUCGGAAACUGUUUUCUUGAGUGCAGAAGAGGAGAGUAGAACUCCAUGUGUAGCGGUGGAAUGCGUAGAUAUAUGGAAGAAUACCAGUCGGCGAAGGCGGCUCUCUGGUCUGCAACUGACGCUGAGGCUCGAAAGCAUGGGUAGCGAACAGGAUUGGAUACCCUGGUAGUCCAUGCCGUAAACGAUGAGUGCUAAGUGUUGGGAGGCUUCCGCCUCUCAGUGCUGCAGCUAACGCAUUAAGCACUCCGCCUGGGGGAGUACGACCGCA